GCUGGGCAUGGUGGCACGUGCCUGUAGUCCCAGCUACUUGGGAGGCUGAGGCUGGAGGAUCACUUGAGUCCAGGAGUUCUGGGCUGUAGUGCGCUAUGCCGAUCAGGUGUCCGCACUAAGUUCGGCAUCAAUAUGGUGAACUCCCGGGAGCGGGGAACCACCAGGUUGCCUAAGGAGGGGUGAACCGGCCCAGGUCAGAAAUGGAGCAGGUCAAAACUCCUGUGCUGAUCAGUAGUGGGAUCGCGCCUGUGAAUAGCCACUGCACUGCAGCCUGGGCAACGUAGUGAGACCCUGUCUCU
rnacentral:SRP_RNA from 1 species